ensembl:lncRNA
GGGCAGCAGGAAGCCUAGUGGUUAGAGGGGGGAGGCAGGUAGCCUAGUGGUUAGAGAGAGAGAGGCAGGUAGCCUAGUGGUUAGAGAGAGAGAGGCAGGUAGCCUAGUGGUUAGAGAGAGAGAGGCAGGUAGCCUAGUGGUUAGAGGGGGGAGGCAGGUAGCCUAGUGGUUAGAGAGAGAGAGAGAGGCAGGUAGCCUAGUGGUUAGAGGGGAGGCAGGUAGCCUAGUGGUUAGAGAAGGGAGGCAGGUAGCCUAGUGGUUAGAGGGGGGAGGCAGGUAGCCUAGUGGUUAGAGAGGGGAGGCAGGUAGCCUAGUGGUUAGAGGGGGAGGCAGGUAGCCUAGUGGUUAGAGAGGGGAGGCAGGUAGCCUAGUGGUUAGAGAGGGAGGCAGGUAGCCUAGUGGUUAGAGGGGGAGGCAGGUAGCCUAGUGGUUAGAGGGGGGAGGCAGGUAACCUAGUGGUUAGAGGGGGGAGGCAGGUAGCCUAGUGGUUAGAGGGGGGAGGCAGGUAGCCUAGUGGUUAGAGGGUUGGACUA